GAGUGCUUGCACUCAGCGGUCAAAGUGCGAGUGGCGAACGGGUGAGUAACACGUGGGCAAUCUGCCCGAAAGUGGGGGAUAACACUUGGAAACAGGUGCUAAUACCGCAUCAACCGGCUGACCGCAUGGUCGGCCGGGCAAAGACGGCGUCAGCUGUCGCUUUUGGAUGAGCCCGCGGCGUAUUAACUAGUUGGUAAGGUAACGGCUUACCAAGGUGAUGAUACGUAGCCGAACUGAGAGGUUGAUCGGCCACAUUGGGACUGAGACACGGCCCAAACUCCUACGGGAGGCAGCAGUAGGGAAUCUUCCACAAUGGACGCAAGUCUGAUGGAGCAACGCCGCGUGUAUGAAGAAGGUCUUCGGAUCGUAAAAUACUGUUGUCAGAGAAGAACACGUGAUAGAGUAACUGCUAUCACGCUGACGGUAUCUGACCAGCAAGUCACGGCUAACUACGUGCCAGCAGCCGCGGUAAUACGUAGGUGGCAAGCGUUGUCCGGAUUUAUUGGGCGUAAAGGGAACGCAGGCGGUCUUUUAAGUCUGAUGUGAAAGCCUUCGGCUUAACCGGAGAAGUGCAUUGGAAACUGGAAGACUUGAGUGCAGAAGAGGAGAGUGGAACUCCAUGUGUAGCGGUGAAAUGCGUAGAUAUAU
rnacentral:rRNA from 2 species